GACUUUUCAUGCGUUUCUCUGGUCAGACCUGGCCAACUGCUUUGGAUAGCUUGGCUUGCCCAGAUGAAGCAAACAAGGAUGUUGGAUUACAACUCCCUGGGCUUUAGUCAGCAUGAGCUGCUCUUGAGAAAAGACUCAGCUUUCUCCACCAGGCUGCAGUGGACAGUAGAAAUGCUCAUGGACCUGUUUUCAGUUACUAUGGCUCCACACUUUGCUACCCCUGAACCUGCUGGAUGUUUUCCGGGCACUUAAAAAGCGAACGCUCCAGAAAAUGAGUUGCAGCCCCACAUUUGUGCUAAUGGCGGCCAGCCACCACAACACGGAGUGUGAGAGAGAUGUACAGAAGUGGUCUGCGAAGCAGUUUAGUCACCAGCCCUGAGGUUCCUGGUGGUCUCCCAUCCCAAUCCUAACCAAGUUGGACCCUAGUUUCGCUUCCAAGAUCGGCUGCAACCAGCAGGCGGUAACUGGCCUAGACAGGCAAUCCAGGCAGCGUGUGGGAUUUUCCCACUUACGUCCUGACUGAGGCCAACCUAACGCUUUGGCAACGCCGCUCAGGGAUUUCCGGCAUGGUGCUGGUGUUCAUCCCGGAGAACUCUGGACCGGUUGUGAUCGUGAUGGUUCUGCAGGUGUUCCUUGAGCUGACCUUCCCCAACCUGGCGCCUUUCGGACCGGUGUUGAGCCUACAACCCCUGGGACUCCCCAGCGAGAAGGCCCCCCAGUCGCCACGUCACACGACCCCCAAGAGAGGGAGAAAACCAAGCCAUGGAAAACAAUCCGGAGAAACAAAGAGGGACGGUAGAGUGACUCCACACAGGGACAGGGGGUUGCAGUUAAAUCAAGGUUAUCUUAC